GGUGAGUAAUGCAUCGGAACGUGCCCGGUAGUGGGGGAUAGCCCGGCGAAAGCCGGAUUAAUACCGCAUACGCACUGAGGUGGAAAGCGGGGGACCUUCGGGCCUCGCGCUAUCGGAGCGGCCGAUGUCGGAUUAGCUAGUUGGUGGGGUAAAGGCCUACCAAGGCGACGAUCCGUACCUGGUCUGAGAGGACGACCAGGCACACUGGGACUGAGACACGGCCCAGACUCCUACGGGAGGCAGCAGUGGGGAAUUUUGGACAAUGGGCGCAAGCCUGAUCCAGCAAUGCCGCGUGUGUGAAGAAGGCCUUCGGGUUGUAAAGCACUUUUGUCCGGAAAGGAAUCUGCCUGGGUUAAUACCUCGCACAAGCGGUGGAUGACGUGGAUUACUUCGAUGCAACGCGAAUAAGCACCGGCUAACCUACGCUUGCCAGCAUGCCGCGGUAACUUUCCAGUAGAUGGAUUGCGUGCCCGUUAAUGGGAAUUCCUGGGCGUACAGCGUG
rnacentral:rRNA from 1 species